rnacentral:lncRNA from 1 species
CUGAAAAUGGGCCUUUCUACCUUUCCUGGUUCUGUUGUCAUUCCCUUCUCCAGGGGAUCUUCUGGACACAGGAAUUGAAACUGGGUCUCCUGCAUUGCAAGCAGAUUCUUUACCACCAGAGAAGCUCAGCAUAUGUCAGAGGAGCC